GAUGAACGCUGGCGGCGUGCCUAAUACAUGCAAGUCGAGCGAACAGACGAGGAGCUUGCUCCGCUGACGUUAGCGGCGGACGGGUGAGUAACACGUGUAUAACCUACCUAUAAGACUGGGAUAACUUCGGGAAACCGGAGCUAAUACCGUAUAAUAUAUUGAACCGCAGGGUGCAAUAGUAAAAUACGGUUGUGCUGUCACUUAUAGAUGGAUCCGCGCCGCAUUAGCUAGUUGUUAAGGUAACGGCUUACCACGGCAACGAUGCGUAGACGACCUGAGAGGGUGGUCGGCCACAUGGGAAGUGAGACACGGUCCAGACUCCUACGGGAGGCAGCAGUAGGGAAUGUGACGCAAUGGGCGAAAGCUUGACGGAGCAACGCCGAGUGAGUGAUGAAGGCCCUCCGAUCGUAAAACUCUGUUAUUAGGGAAGAACAAAUGUGUAAGUAACUAUGCACGUAUUGACGGUACCUAAUCAGAAAGCCACGGCUAACUACGUG
rnacentral:rRNA from 1 species